rnacentral:rRNA from 1 species
UACGUAGGGCGCGAGCGUUGUCCGGAUUUAUUGGGCGUAAAGAGCUCGUAGGCGGCUUGUUACGUCGUUCGUGAAAACUUGGGGCUCAACCCCAAGCUUGCGGUCGAUACGGGCAGGCUAGAGUUCGGUAGGGGAGACUGGAAUUCCUGGUGUAGCGGUGAAAUGCGCAGAUAUCAGGAGGAACACCGGUGGCGAAGGCGGGUCUCUGGGCCGAUACUGAUGCUGAGGAGCGAAAGCGUGGGGAGCGAACAGG